CUCACUCACUCACUCACUCACUCCUGAUUUUCAUAGAAAUGUAUGACUGGUGUUAUACAUGAUGUAAGGCAUGUAACCUGCAGGUUGUGUGUUGUUGUGUGAGUACCCGCUGCUCAGAGCGGUUAUCCUGUCUGUAUCAUACCUGCGAUGGUGGUUUCAACAAAGUCGUAAAUGUCCAAGACCUGCAUUACUUUCGACUUCCGUCUCACGUCAAGCUUACACCCUCAUAUGGUUUGUGUACAGUUCAAAGUGGAAUUAAACCUAGCCUCACUCACACACUCACACUCAAGCUCAUCAUUAUCCUGUGCAGAAUCAACCUGAAUUCAUUGGUGUAGCUUGAAACACUACACAGCAUAUGUUUGCAUUUUCAGGUGCUGGAGGGGUAUAGUGCUUAUAUGCCCCUGAAAUAUGGAUGAUGAUUGACAUGACUUGUUACCCUUGUAAAUAUGGCUCUGCAGAGUGUCUGAUUAACAGCUGUUUCAUGUUGCUCUGAAUGUCAUCAUGAUCAGACAAAGUUUUGGAUGUGAUGAUAAAUUUUUAUUCAAAUGCUAGGGAUUAUUGUUCUGAUGGUUGUAAAUUUGCGAAUCUUGUAUUUAGUUACAAGUUGUUUUGAAAUGUUUUUGUAACCAUGGCAACGAAAUGAAUUGUUUUGUUAAUUUUAAUUUGUGUAGUUUAUUUUGUAUUUGUUAUGGUUCUCAUGUGUUAUUUUCUAUGUUGUUCAUGUAGAAACCAUUUGUUGUUGUAAGUUUGAUUCCUAUUGUUUUGCAAUUGGCAUGGAAGUGUUUUCAUCUGAUAUUGUUACUGGUUUGAGAUGUUUGUCUCCGUGACAUCAGACACAGCACAGGUUAGGGUCGGGGAUCAGGGGUCCCCAACAACAUCACUGAGAAGGUAGAUUCAUCACUAAGCAUGCAUGUAUCUUACAUCGCAUUACGUGGUUACCAAGGAAACAGACAUAUCAGCUUGAUCCAAAACAUGAAUAUGCAAAUAUCAGUUUUAUCCAGUGUGAAGAGUUCAGAUUGUGUAUCACUGUGGAAAAUGGCUGGGCUUUGGACAGUGAGUUUUAUAUAAUUAUAGGGAACCUUACCUUAUUCAGGUUACCAUCUUCUGUUUUGAAUGACACAUGCAUGAAAAGCUAUUAAGAUUUUUAACUGUUUAAGUAAUUUGUUCAUUGUUCCCGAUACAUAAACUGUAUUUAUUAAACUUGUUUCGAUGACUUACAAAAUCUAAAAGGUAUUUUCAUCCACCCAUUUGAUCCUAAUAAUGUUUAUAAGGUCCAAAAAGUGUCCAACUGGUAUUUUCAGAAUAUGUAUAACUCAUGUUAGGUGCUGACUAGCUCAGUAAUAUGGUUCAAGAAUAUUUUCCUCUAUCAUCAUCACAUUUUAAGAUGCAGGAUAAUAUUUGGGUUGAAGUUGAAUGGCUGCUAGUUACAAAAGACUUGUGAGUCCCAUACAAUACACUUCCUUCUGAGAGGGGAGGAGUUUGAGCUGUUUCUUUGUAGAGUCGUGGUAAUUAUAACACAGGGUCUGGAGCACAGGUUGUGUUACCACAGGUAUGGGAGCAUAGGUCAUUGUAGUACAGGUUGUACCACAGGUAUGGGAGCAUUGGUCAUUGUAGCACAGGUUGUCUUACCACAGGUAUGGGAGCAUUGGUCAUUGUAGCACAGGUUGUACCACAGGUAUGGGACCAUUGGUCAUUGUAGCACAGGUUGUUCCACACAGGUACUGCCUCAUGCACAGGUACAAUGCAUUGCGUGUGUUGCGAGUCACCUGUGUUUGCCUAUUAAUGCACAGUUGUUAGAAGUGCCACAGCUCAAUGUACAUACCGGUACUACUGGAUGUCCCACCAUGACAGGUGUCUAAUGUAUUCAUGUUGUGCAAUGAUUGGUAAUGUGAGAUUGGCCAACAGCUUUUGUGUAAUCGACAUUGUAUAUUGGUAUAAUUGUUGUGUGAUGUUAAAGGACUUAUGUGAAGAUAAAUUAGUAAUACAAUGCCUAUGUGAACAGUGCUUUUUAAUGAAAGGAUUAUUGUUUUGUGCCGAUGAAAUCAUUUUUAUACCAAAUGAAAGUAAAGAUAUACAUGUUUUUGCAUUGUAUUGAACUACUACAAAGAAACCUGAAUUUAAAAAAAUAAUAUUAUAGUUAAUAGUAAUGAACAGUAUUUGCAAUAAUAUUGGAUAUUGUUAUGAUGAUGCUUUAAAGAGAUUGAUAUGUUGGGGAACAAAUACUUCCAUGGUAGCCAUUUUGAAAUGUAAUUGCAUCUGAACAUUUGCAUUGUUGAAGUGUUUUGGCUGAGGAUGUAUUCAUGCACACCGAGGGAUGACCCAGUAAUCUAUAUGUUAUCGACAAUGUGUUGUGAAGAGUUAUGUCCCUUGUCAAUACCAGGAUCUGUACUUUUGUGCUUGAACAUGAUCUGUUUGCACCGUAUCUAUGCCGUGCUGUGGGUUGCACCAAAGUGGAGGAGACAGAAGACGUGAAAGAGUUUAGCUUAUUCUCCCACAUAACCUGCCACUCUGUGAUAUGACAGAUAUACUGAUAGUAGUGUUAAUCCCAACUCAACGAAGGUUUCAUAUGUUAGUUGGGUGAUUUUUCAGCAACCAACCAAUGAUGACAGAGCAGAAUUCAGUAUGUUCUAUCAAAUAGGGGCAAGAUUAUAUCAUCAAGUGAAUGUAAGACCCAUCUGGAAUUGAAGUCAAAGGUAUUUUUCUAGAAACAUGUUUCAGCCAUCGUAUUGUGUUGUCGACACUGAUAAGGCCAAAAUAAUUCAGUCGUAAGUUU
rnacentral:lncRNA from 1 species